CUCAGAUUGCGUCAGACACGCUGGAGAGCUCAGAGCUGACGGUUGCUUCCGUUAAUAGCCUAGAAGAUCUUAUUGAAUUAGACGAAGAAUCUUGGAAAUCGAAAAGCUUCCUUUGUGAGCGACUGAAGUCGGAAAAAUCCGUUGGUAGCGUCGGAGCAUCAGUGUGGUGCAGCAGAGGCACAUC